rnacentral:lncRNA from 1 species
UUAAGUGGGUGUGGGUGUCCAAGUGUUUGUUGUGUUUAAUGAAGCAAUUUCCCAUGAGUACCUUGGGAAACCAGGAACCAGGAAACAAGAGAAAGACAAGAAUGAGUUGGUACUGCAUUGCCAGCUGGAUGGCAGACACUCUUCCAGCCACUCUGGGCAGCAACCGUGGGAUAUUAGUUACUUCUCUGGUUGCUGUGAUAAAACUCCCUGACAACAAGCACCCUAGGACAGAAAGUGUUCGUUUGAGCUCACGGUUCGAGGGGAUACAGUUCACCGCAGAAAGCAUAGCAUAAGGCUUCAUCUCACAUUGUAUCUGCAGUUAUGAAGCAGAGAAAAAAAUGAAGCUAGCUAGCUUUCUCCUUUUUGUAGUCUAGGACCUCCCUCAUAGACUGGUGCUGCCCCAUUCAGAAAGAUGCCUUCCCUAAAUGACUAGAUUAAUCUAGAUUAGUCUAUAUCAUCCCUCACAGGCGUGACAAUAGUCUUGUCACCUAGGCGGUUCUAGCGCCUAUAGAGUUAACAAUCAAUAUUGACCAUCAAAC